AGUCUUGUCCGAUCUUUCACACAACCACCUCCUUAUAAAGCUUCAUUUUUUGAUUCAUAGGAGUUUGGGAGAUCCGAAAAAAGGAGCUUGGAUCAGCCAUCCAGAGCCUUCGACGCAAGCUAGCACUCCCACGAAGGAAGAUCCGAUCAGAGCUUCGAGUGGACGAUCUGUAGAGGUCGGAUGAUUUGUGUGGCUUCUUGACAUCAGCAAGAGCUUUGUACCAUGUUUAUCAGUAGCAG
rnacentral:lncRNA from 1 species